rnacentral:rRNA from 1 species
AGAGUUGAUCCUGGCUUAGGAUGAACGCUGGCGGCGUGCCUAACACAUGCAAGUCGAGCGAUUACUUCGGUAAAGAGCGGCGGACGGGUGAGUAACGCGUGGGUAACCUGCCUCAUACACAUGGAUAACAUACCGAAAGGUAUGCUAAUACAGGAUAAUAUAAGAGAUUCACAUGGAUUUCUUAUCAAAGCUCCGGCGGUAUGAGAUGGACCCGCGUCUGAUUAGCUAGUUGGUAAGGUAAUGGCUUACCAAGGCGACGAUCAGUAGCCGACCUGAGAGGGUGAUCGGCCACAUUGGAACUGAGACACGGUCCAAACUCCUACGGGAGGCAGCAGGGGGGAAUAUUGCACAAUGGGCGAAAGCCUGAUGCCAGCAACGCCGCGUGAGUGAUGAAGGCUUUCGGGUCGUAAAACUCUGUCCUCAAGGAAGAUAAUGACGGUACUUGAGGAGGAAGCCCCGGCUAACUACGUGCCAGCAGCCGC